rnacentral:rRNA from 1 species
AUUGAACGCUGGCGGCAUGCCUUACACAUGCAAGUCGAACGGCAGCAUGAUCUAGCUUGCUAGAUUGAUGGCGAGUGGCGAACGGGUGAGUAAUACAUCGGAACGUGCCCUGUAGUGGGGGAUAACUAGUCGAAAGAUUAGUUAAUACCGCAUACGACCUGAGGGUGAAAGUGGGGGACCGCAAGGCCUCAUGCUAUAGGAGCGGCCGAUGUCUGAUUAGCUGGUUGGUGAGGUAAAGGCUCACCAAGGCGACGAUCAGUAGCUGGUCUGAGAGGACGAUCAGCCACACUGGGACUGAGACACGGCCCAGACUCCUACGGGAGGCAGCAGUGGGGAAUUUUGGACAAUGGGGGCAACCCUGAUCCAGCAAUGCCGCGUGUGUGAAGAAGGCCUUCGGGUUGUAAAGCACUUUUGUCCGGAAAGAGAUCGCACUUACUAAUAUUAGGUGUGGAUGACGGUACCGGAAGAAUAAGGACCGGCUAACUACGUGCCAGCCGCCGCCGUAAAAC